UUACUAAGCGGUUUGUGGCAAAGCUGUGAAAACCAAACAACCCUAUGAUUGUUUGGGCCCUUAGGAGGCACCCUUUAUCCACAGCCCAGUUAUGUGCAAAUGUUUCCCCAGGGCUCUGUUUCCCAGCAAAGCACAGGUUCCCUUUCAGCCGGACAUCCCAGUGCUUUCUGGUGCUACCCUGGGCGGGCUGCUUUGUUUCCACGCUCAGCUGCUCCUCCGGCGGGGCCACCCCGGGGCUCUGCCCUGUUUUGUUUUUGCGGCUGGACCUCCUACAGACACAGCGCUGGCAGCAGGCAGCCCGGAGCACAGCCCAGGCUUCCUCUUUCCCUCCGUUCUUGGCGGCUUCAGUAUGAACAGAAAAGGUGGGCAGGGGCCAACUGGCAGAAGCCACAGAAAUAGCAGCGCGUGAUUCUCAGGGGAGCAGCAGAAAGCCGGCCGCGGGCCUGCCCUCUGCCCAGCGCGCACUGACGGAGGUUGCUGUUGGCUCCGGUCACCCGCGGUUUCCACGCUCUCUUCCCUCCCUGCAGGGCAGACCAGGCCGGGGAGGGCAUGCUCAGAGGUGGGCUCCGAGGUCCCGGGCAGCAGCUGACCGCCCGGGGGCAGGAGUGGAGACGCUGGACGGCAAGUGCCACCGUGACCCCAGGACCUCAGCUGCCUCCUAGCGGGGACCCUCCUCCGAAGGCUCCCUCGCCCGGAGGAAAGCUGUCAAUCACCGCCGCGCAUGCGCGGAAGGCCGGCUCUGGGAUUAGCCGGCGUCCUGCGCCAGUCUGCUGCUCCUGCUGGCUGCUCCUCAUUAGCAACCGCCGGGAGCAAAGCUGUGCGAGGCUGUUUGCAGCAAGCCCAGCCACAGGCAGAGAGGGUGACUCAGACUCUCCUUUGCCAGUUUCUCUGUUUCCUCCCCCUCUUCCCCUUUUCCUCUCUCCCUCUGGGUCUAGGACAAUACUCUAGCCAGGACAGUUCCAGUCAUAACUGGAUCUUUCCACAAUUUAGUAGCACACAUGAGGAUUUGUUGGAGUGGUGUUUUGUUUUGUUUCGCUACUAUUAAGCAAGAUUGCUUCAUAAUCCUUUAAGUGUUUUUUAGCCAAGUUGUACUUUCACAUCCUGGCCAGCAAGCACGUGAUUCACCCAGAUACUACAUCUGAAAAAUAGGCUGAUGCUGUUUCGUUUAGGAGACAAAAACAACUGAGCUGUGGAAAAGGACUACUGUCUCUUGGGCCAACAGGACACAAAAGUCUCAGACUGGAGAGCCUCGGAGACGAGGAGAAGGAGGAGGAGCUGCCGAGAAGGAAGAAACCCAUAAAAAUGCAUUAAGAGGACCAGAAAGACACACUAAGGUUUGUCCAUUCUCUGGUCCUAAUUUAUACUCUCCUGCACAAGUGAGCUGCUGGGACUUGAGCACACUCUGUACCUCCCUGCCUUCAUCGAUUGGCUCCUACUUUGUGGAAAGGCCUUCUCCGGGAAUCCCUCUUCCAGCUGUCAUUCUGUGAGACUCAUCUGAAGUGCCAUUUGUCUCUCUGUAAAGCCUUCUUUAUUUUAUUUAGCUGGAAUAAAGGCCUCAUAGAUGGUUGUUUAUUGCUUACAUUUUGAUAAAAAUAUUUAUAAAACCCCUGCUUUAUUAGCAUUUAAGAAUUAAAUAAUAAAGUAAAAUAAUGUUUAUAACAUACUUCCCAUAGCACCUAACACGUAGUUAAAAAUAAACAGAAGUUGGAUGUGGAGUCAGAUUUACUCCUAGAUUUUAAGUUCUUGAAGCUAAGAAGCAAUAUUUUAUUUAGUUACACACAAACUUACAUUGCUGACCUAAAUGCACAUAUUAAGUGCUCAAACUCAAUAUAACUUGAAUAUUAAGCCCUAUGCUUUUUUUUAAAAUACAACUAAAAAAAAUUACAAUGUUUUUAAUCCUAAAUUCAAUGUAAGACAGACUUCAAAAUUGUUCACAUUUCCAUAAUUUUUCUAGUUUCUUUGACUGUGAGGUUCAGGAAACCAUAGACCUUGGAGAUAGAUAGACCUGAGAUCAAGAUUCAGAUUGAUUACAUUCUAGCUUGAGUAUCUUUGCAAGUUAUUUAAAUUUUCUGAGAUUCAAUUAUUUUAUUGAUAAACUGCCAAUAAAAUGUUUUUAAAGGUAAUAGAGGUGUCAAUUAAGAGUAUUAAAUAGAACCCUGCCUAAAUACCCCUAUCUAUAUUACCUAUAUUGUGAAAUGAUCUUAAAAUAGUAUAUACAUGAGAUGCAAAUCAUAUCUUGAUCAUGCUUUCUUCAAUACAAAAAAAGAGCAGCAAUCUCCAUCCUAUUUUGUGAGAAAGAGUGCAAUGUAAGCUUGGUCACUAUGCCCUGGGGAUCUGGAGAUGGCCUUAUUGACAGCACCCUCUUCUACUUCUCCCUGGUAACUUCACAAGCAAGAGGGGAAUAUGAACUAUGACAUCCAAUUACAUUUGAGGAUCCAGCAAUCUAUCAAGCAUAACUUUAGGAUCUAUGAUGGGUCCCAUCUGCUGGAUAAGGUCCCUGAAAUAUAACCAUUAUGUAUCAUUUCCAUUUCCUACUUAAUGCUGUCCACUCUUUCUGUCAGUGAUCCACUAUCUUUCUUUUCUAAUUUUGCUUUGAUUUAUGAAUGCACACCAUGAUGAUGACAGUACAGUACUUUGUUUCUUCUUCUUCUUCUU